AUGUCACGAGAACCUGGCCUGGCUACGCAUACCAGCGCCGAUCCCAAACUAAGAGCACACUCUCAUGGACUGGUGGCGGCACGCCAAGGACGACACGCCGCAAGCACAACGCAAGGCCUUGCAAUCCAUAGCGCUUUAGUACCAUGGAUCGUCUGGAAACACAGGAACAGCUGCGUCUUUGACAACCCGACACCCUCCCUCGGCAUGCUUGUCGACCGGAUCAAGGAGAAAGCCGGCUCGUGGGCUAAGGCUGGAGCUGCAGGCCUUAGAGUAGUCCUGCCCCCUUCUUGGGACGUGCACCGAGCUUUGUACCCGCCUCUCGAUUAUUCGUCCUAG
rnacentral:rRNA from 1 species